AGAGUUUGAUCCUGGCUCAGGAUGAACGCUGGCGGCGUGCCUAAUACAUGCAAGUCGAGCGAACGGAAGAGAAGCUUGCUUCUCUGAUGUUAGCGGCGGACGGGUGAGUAACACGUGGAUAACCUACCUAUAAGACUGGGAUAACUUCGGGAAACCGGAGCUAAUACCGGAUAAUAUUUUGAACCGCAUGGUUCAAAAGUGAAAGACGGUCUUGCUGUCACUUAUAGAUGGAUCCGCGCUGCAUUAGCUAGUUGGUAAGGUAACGGCUUACCAAGGCAACGAUGCAUAGCCGACCUGAGAGGGUGAUCGGCCACACUGGAACUGAGACACGGUCCAGACUCCUACGGGAGGCAGCAGUAGGGAAUCUUCCGCAAUGGGCGAAAGCCUGACGGAGCAACGCCGCGUGAGUGAUGAAGGUCUUCGGAUCGUAAAACUCUGUUAUUAGGGAAGAACAUAUGUGUAAGUAACUGUGCACAUCUUGACGGUACCUAAUCAGAAAGCCACGGCUAACUACGUGCCAGCAGCCGCGGUAAUACGUAGGUGGCAAGCGUUAUCCGGAAUUAUUGGGCGUAAAGCGCGCGUAGGCGGUUUUUUAAGUCUGAUGUGAAAGCCCACGGCUCAACCGUGGAGGGUCAUUGGAAACUGGAAAACUUGAGUGCAGAAGAGGAAAGUGGAAUUCCAUGUGUAGCGGUGAAAUGCGCAGAGAUAUGGAGGAACACCAGUGGCGAAGGCGACUUUCUGGUCUGUAACUGACGCUGAUGUGCGAAAGCGUGGGGAUCAAACAGGAUUAGAUACCCUGGUAGUCCACGCCGUAAACGAUGAGUGCUAAGUGUUAGGGGGUUUCCGCCCCUUAGUGCUGCAGCUAACGCAUUAAGCACUCCGCCUGGGGAGUACGACCGCAAGGUUGAAACUCAAAGGAAUUGACGGGGACCCGCACAAGCGGUGGAGCAUGUGGUUUAAUUCGAAGCAACGCGAAGAACCUUACCAAUCUUGACAUCCUUUGACAACUCUAGAGAUAGAGCCUUCCCUUUCGGGGGACAAAGUGACAGGUGGUGCAUGGUUGUCGUCAGCUCGUGUCGUGAGAUGUUGGGUUAAGUCCCGCAACGAGCGCAACCCUUAAGCUUAGUUGCCAUCAUUAAGUUGGGCACUCUAAGUUGACUGCCGGUGACAAACCGGAGGAAGGUGGGGAUGACGUCAAAUCAUCAUGCCCCUUAUGAUUUGGGCUACACACGUGCUACAAUGGACAAUACAAAGGGCAGCGAAACCGCGAGGUCAAGCAAAUCCCAUAAAGUUGUUCUCAGUUCGGAUUGUAGUCUGCAACUCGACUACAUGAAGCUGGAAUCGCUAGUAAUCGUAGAUCAGCAUGCUACGGUGAAUACGUUCCCGGGUCUUGUACACACCGCCCGUCACACCACGAGAGUUUGUAACACCCGAAGCCGGUGGAGUAACCUUUUAGGAGCUAGCCGUCGAAGGUGGGACAAAUGAUUGGGGUGAAGUCGUAACAAGGUAGCCGUAUCGGAAGGUGCGGCUGGAUCACCU
rnacentral:rRNA from 1 species